GCAUCAAAGCACGGAGCCCACAGUGUGCAGGCUGCGCUUUUAGCAGGCCACGUGGUAGACAAGAAGGCCAUCCACAAGGUCAGAGCCCGCAUCACAGGCCCAUAGCGACUUGGCUGCACGGCCCCACAUGGAGAUGGUGACCUGGGGCGACAGGGGCCCAUCGGGAACUUUACGAGGAGCAGGUCGUACGCCCUGUCGCGACGCCCGCAUCCUGUGAUGCUCCGGGAGACGUGGCUUCCCUUCCUGGUGCUUCCAUCGGUACCGGUGCUCCUCCUUCGCGGCCCUGACCCCGCACAACAAGCAUCUGCGUGCGCUACCCGCCCCCCACACCGAGGCCGUGUGACCUUCAAAGUCAGGGACUUUGCCUCAUCUCUGCGCUCCUGGAGCCCGUCAAGGUGCUGUUUGCAUAGAUGCUGAAUAAACAUACACCGGGAUUAAAGGCAGUUAAUGGAAUGGCAGCAAUGGAAGAAAUUCUAGGUCAGUGGCUCUCAAACCAGCAGGCAUCAAAAUCCCCCGGGGAGCUUGUUCACAGGCAGGUGUGUGAUUUAGCAGGUCCGACGUGGCCACCGGCUGCUGCCGAGGUCCCGUCACCUCGCCUAUGAGAGCCCUGCUCUGACGAAGGUCUGUCCCCAGCCGCCUACGUGAUAGAACUGAAGCGGAGGGUGUGAGGUGGGAAGAAAGCUUCUAACAUCCUGCCCGCCCAGCUCCUGUUCAGGUGCAGCGGCUGCGGCCAGCUCCGGAAAGCUCGGUCUCCCCGCGCGGGACAAGGUCUCCACUCAGCUUGCAGCGUCCUGACGGCCUCCAGCAACGGCCAGCUCUCCCAAUUAUCCUCCAGGAGGGCCAGGCGCCGUCCAUGCUAACCCCCGCAUUCAGGAGAACGAAGACAGAGGCAGAGACCCCCCGGCAUCUAAACGAGACCCCGGAUGUGUGUGGCGUGGGAUUCACAGACACCUGCUGGUAUCCGUUCCUCAAACUCCCCAGGGGACCACGGUGUGCGUCCAACACAGGACACACUGUGUCGGCCCA